GGGUAGCUAUGUUCGGAAAAGAUAACCGCUGAAAGCAUCUAAGCGGGAAACUUGCCUCAAGAUGAGAUCUCACUGGGAACUUGAUUCCCCUGAAGGGCCGUCGAAGACUACGACGUUGAUAGGCUGGGUGUGUAAGCGUUGUGAGGCGUUGAGCUAACCAGUACUAAUUGCCCGUGAGGCUUGACCAUAUAACACCCAAACA
rnacentral:rRNA from 1 species